rnacentral:rRNA from 1 species
GUUCCCUUCAUCCCAUCGCUCCAGGCGGAGGAGCUCGUCAGGGCCAGGGCGGAGGAGGCGUCGUCGAUCGUCAAGGCGGGGUGCGGCUCCAAGAGGAAGGCGGAGGAGGACUGCCGCGAGGUCACCGUCAAGGCCAUGGCGGCGGCGGAGGAGGAGGAGGCGCCGGUCACCGUCAAGGCCAAGGAGGCGGUGCAGGUCAAGUUGGUGCUGACCAAGCCGACGUGGUCCGAUGUGGAGUACUCGGACUGCCACUCGGACGAAGAGGUCGACUCGGACGACGAAGAUGCCGAGACGUUCCUGGCCAGGAUCAGGUCUGAGUACAACGCCCACGCCGAGAAGCUCAUGGCUGACAAUCCCUGGUUGAAGUUGAGGGACUACUCGGCCCACCCCAGGCAGGAAGAGGAGGCUGGCGCCGUGGUUGAUGGGCUUGUUUCCGUGUCAGAUUGUAAUUUGACGACUGGGAUGGUUCACCAUCCCUAA